rnacentral:lncRNA from 1 species
AGAACAGAGUGACACUAUGACAUAGAUCGAGUGGCAUUUGAAAAUGUAAAGUAAAGAGACACUAGAGUUGGUGUGAUGUAAAGAACUAAAGUGAUGUAAAGAAUGAAGAAAGUGACAACGUGUAAAGAUAAAGUAAUGUGGGGAAUAAAGAAUAUAAUUGCUAGAGUUAGCAAAAGUAAAAGAAAUGUAAAGAAUGUGAUUACAUGAGUUUGCAACAUAAAGUGAUGUAAAGAACACUAGAGCUAGUGUAAAGUCAAGAUUGAACUUAUAAAUCCUUUGAGUUAAGGAUUCGAUCAUACUUGCUAUGAGUUCCGUGCUCGAGGGUGGUCGCUCCCCCUCGGGCGAUGCGCUCCGGAGUUAUGCAUCCGGGUUGGAGUAAACCCGAAAGGACGGUCCUAGCUGGUGAGUUCCUGCGAUGAUGGGCUUAAUGUGAAGC